UCCCCUAGUAACGGCGAGUGAAGCGGGAAGAGCUCAAAUUUGAAAUCUGGCGGUCUCAGGCCGUCCGAGUUGUAAUCUAGAGAGGUGUUUUCCGUGCCGGACCGUGUACAAGUCCCUUGGAACAGGGCGUCAUAGAGGGUGAGAAUCCCGUCCAUGACACGGACUACCGGUGCUCUGUGAUACACCUUCAAAGAGUCGAGUUGUUUGGGAAUGCAGCUCAAAAUGGGUGGUAAAUUCCAUCUAAAGCUAAAUACAGGCGAGAGACCGAUAGCGAACAAGUACCGUGAGGGAAAGAUGAAAAGAACUUUGGAAAGAGAGUUAAACAGUACGUGAAAUUGUUGAAAGGGAAACGCUUGAAGUCAGUCGCGUCUGCCAGGACUCAGCCUUGCUUUUGCUUGGUGCACUUCUUGGUGGAUGGGCCAGCAUCGAUUUUGGCCGCCGGAAAAGGGCGGGAGGAAUGUGGCAGCUUUUGCUGUGUUAUAGCCUUCCGUCGUACACGGUGGUUGGGAUCGAGGACUGCAGCACGCCUUUGGUCGGGGUUCGCCCACGCCACGUGCUUAGGAUGCUGGCGUAAUGGCUUUAAACGACCCGUCUUGAAACACGGACCAAGGAGUCUAACAUGCCUGCGAGUGUUUGGGUGCAAAACCCAGGCGCGUAAUGAAAGUGAAAAGUUGGGACUCUUUAGUGAGGCACCGACGCCCGACCCUGAAGUCUUCUGACGGGUUUGAGGCAGAGCAUGUAUGUUGGGACCCGAAAGAUGGUGAACUAUGCCUGAAUAGGGUGAAGCCAGAGGAAACUCUGGUGGAGGCUCGUAGCGAUUCUGACGUGCAAAUCGAUCGUCAAAUUUGGGUAUAGGGGCGAAAGACUA
rnacentral:rRNA from 1 species